AUCCUUUUGUAGUUCAUAAGUGUGAUGAUUGGGUGUUCACACUCUUGUGUGAGGUGGAGCCUGAUAAAAAUUGUAAUUUGCAGAGUCGUAAGGGUCACAUGAAA